rnacentral:rRNA from 1 species
AACGAACGCUGGCGGCAUGCCUAACACAUGCAAGUCGAACGAGACCUUUGGGUCUAGUGGCGCACGGGUGCGUAACGCGUGGGAAUCUGCCCUUGGGUUCGGAAUAACAGUUAGAAAUGACUGCUAAUACCGGAUGAUGACUUCGGUCCAAAGAUUUAUCGCCCAAGGAUGAGCCCGCGUAGGAUUAGCUAGUUGGUAGGGUAAAGGCCUACCAAGGCGACGAUCCUUAGCUGGUCUGAGAGGAUGAUCAGCCACACUGGGACUGAGACACGGCCAAGACUCCGACGGGAGGCAGCAGUGGGGAAUAUUGGACAAUGGGCGAAAGCCUGAUCCAGCAAUGCCGCGUGAGUGAUGAAGGCCCUAGGGUUGUAAAGCUCUUUUACCCGGGAUGAUAAUGACAGUACCGGGAGAAUAAGCCCCGGCUAACUCCGUGCCAGCAGCCGCCGUAAAAC